rnacentral:tRNA from 1 species
GCCCAGCUGGCUCAGUCGGUGGAGCAUGUAACUCUUGAUCUCAGGGUUGUGAGUUUGAGUCCCACACUGGGUG